rnacentral:rRNA from 1 species
UACGAAGGGGGCUAGCGUUGUUCGGAAUCACUGGGCGUAAAGCGCACGUAGGCGGAUCUUUAAGUCAGGGGUGAAAUCCCGAGGCUCAACCUCGGAACUGCCUUUGAUACUGGGGAUCUCGAGUCCGGGAGAGGUGAGUGGAACUGCGAGUGUAGAGGUGAAAUUCGUAGAUAUUAGCUAGAACACCAGUGGCGAAGGCGGCCAACUGGUCCGGUACUGACGCUGAGGUGCGAAAGCGUGGGGAGCAAACAGG